CUGUCUUCAGUACGGCCAGAAAUGGUGGGAGAAAUUAUAGGAAAGACACAAACCUUCUUGGAAGGCCAGGAGGUUUUGCAGAGCUUCAGG